UACGUAGGGUGCGAGCGUUAAUCGGAAUUACUGGGCGUAAAGCGUGCGCAGGCGGUGAUGUAAGACCGAUGUGAAAUCCCCGGGCUUAACCUGGGAACUGCAUUGGUGACUGCAUCGCUCGAGUAUGGCAGAGGGGGGUAGAAUUCCACGUGUAGCAGUGAAAUGCGUAGAGAUGUGGAGGAAUACCGAUGGCGAAGGCAGCCCCCUGGGUCAAUACUGACGCUCAUGCACGAAAGCGUGGGGAGCAACAGG
rnacentral:rRNA from 1 species